rnacentral:rRNA from 1 species
GUGGGGAAUCUUAGACAAUGGGGGCAACCCUGAUCUAGCCAUGCCGCGUGAUCGAUGAAGGCCUUAGGGUUGUAAAGAUCUUUCAGCUGGGAAGAUAAUGACGGUACCAGCAGAAGAAGCCCCGGCUAACUCCGUGCCAGCAGCCGCGGUAAUACGGAGGGGGCUAGCGUUGUUCGGAAUUACUGGGCGUAAAGCGCACGUAGGCGGAUUGAAAAGUUGGGGGUGAAAUCCCGGGGCUCAACCUCGGAACUGCCUCCAAAACUAUCAGUCUUGAGUUCGAGAGAGGUGAGUGGAAUUCCGAGUGUAGAGGUGAAAUUCGUAGAUAUUCGGAGGAACACCAGUGGCGAAGGCGGCUCACUGGCUCGAUACUGACGCUGAGGUGCGAAAGCGUGGGGAGCAAACAGGAUUAGAUACCCGGGUAGUCC